CCAAUCCAUAGGAAGAGGAGGGCUGCCCAGCAGAGGCUCACUAGCUCUCACCAUCCCCAAACUGAGAUACUGUAAAAUAGGGGGUGUAGUAAGCCACCAGGUUUGGGAAUAGUUUGCUAAAUAAGACUAGUCAGGACAAUGGGUUCAUGCAAGAGGAAGCAGAAUGUGUGUUUUCUGUACUGGAUAUUGCCCUUGAGAGUUAGAGGGUUGCAUUAUGGUCUCCAGGAGAUUAUUAUAUAUGAUCCACACUCCUGAUCAUGAAGUUUUGAAUAUGGUUGCUGUAAAAGAUCUCCAACACAGGUGCCAUUGUAAGAGAUUCCAUAUAUUGUUUUCUGGUAACGCUGAAGUUCAGACAUGAGUGACAAAUUUGGUUUGUGGAACACAAGUAGCAGGUAUUGUUUAUAAUACUUCUAACAACAAUUUUCAACAUUUAGCAAAUAUAUACUAAAGGACAGAAAUCAUGAUGAUUACUUAUGCCAACUGAGUGUUCAAAUGUACUAAAAGCAUUUGAGAUAAUUGAUCUAUGACUUGUUGCAUAGACGCUACUUGAUCAAUGCCCCUCAAGCCCAUCUGUAAUUCUAAUACUUCUUCAUAAUACACAUUUCCCUGGGGUAGGAAGUAAUAAUUCCAUGUAUUCUUGGGGUUUAAACAUGAAUUUGAAGAGACUCAAACUCAUGUUUCUGAUGUUAGAAUUUUUACCAGGUUUCAGAUCUAUAUUUUAGAUAGCAUAAAAACAAACAAUGUUCUAAUAACUCAAACCAAACUUUCCCCCAAAUGACCCAGUGUGCUCCCCAUAUAAUCAUUCAAAUCUAUCAAACUAGAAACUUUGGAGUCACUUUUAUCUCCCCAUUUCCUCAUUCUAUAGAUAAUUAAACUUCAGUUCCUGUGAUUUCUAUCUCGGAACCAUUACUUCUAGCUCGCCUCUUGUCUCUCCUUCCAUGCAAUUAUACCCGCAUCAUCUAUCUCCUGUCCUGGACUGCAAUCUCUCUCUUUCAAGGCAAGCCACUUCAAUAUUCGUUAUUGAAAACUGUCUACGGAAAAACUAAGUCCAGCAAGAAAAAGGUUUCUUUUUAAUGCAAGGCUAGAAAAAGCCAUUUCCCAUCCAAGCCAAAGGCAAUUUUUCUGCAUUGUGAUGUAAUUACUGUGAAAGUGUUGACUUUCUGUUAUAAUAGUUUCUCUAUUAAGGUAUACAGAGCUUACACAGAGUUCAGUGAAUCUCCAAAAAUCAAGCUCCCUGCCAUAACUGCCACACAAAAGAAGAGCAGUCCUGAAGACCCCUUCCAUGUUCCCUCCCCACAGAGGCCCACUCACAGGACUUCUAGUUAGUUAUGAAACAUCUAAAAGCCACGCACAAGACAAAAGAGAGCUGGCUUCUAAUUGCCCUGUUGAAGCAUUUUGGCAACUCCGUCUGUAACUGUCAGAAUUUGAAAGUCAGCAAUUCCCAGAUGUGUGGAAUCGUUAUGUUCAAGGAUUGUGCCGCUGCACUUGCAAAGGCCAAGUAGAUUGUGAACAAAUGAGAGACUAAAUCAGAUAUUUUGCUGGUGUGUGUACCAAACACACCAUUGGGUCUUUUAAAGGUUUUUAUGUGUAUAAUCUAAUCCUGACCACAAUUCUGUAACACAGAAACUUAACAUGUGUUUUAAAGAUUGAAAUGAAUUAAUGCUCAAAAUCACACAGCUGCAACAUGCUAACUGAGGUCAUUUGCUCCCUUAGGUCAGUUCUCAUCAGUAUCUGUCCUUAUCAGGAUUUUUUGUCCUUACUUGAAAAUGUAUUUCCUUUCUCUGUCUGUCUGUCUGUCUGUCUGUCUGUCUGUCUCUCUAACUAACUAACAUUUGGGAAUGGUCAUAUAUAGCUUUGGCUUUUGUUUUGGUUUUGGUUUAUCUUCUUACAGGAGCUCAGGUAGUCCAGGCUGGCCUCCCACUUGCCAGGUAGUAAAGGAUGACCUUGAACUUCUGACAUUCCUCUUUCCUCCUCAGUGCUCGGAUUAUAGAAGUGUACCACCAUUGUUGUUUUAUGUACUGAGGUUGGAAAGCAGGACUUUGUGUAUGGUAGGCAAGAAUCCUACCAACUGAGCUACACCCCAACCCAUUGACGAAUUUGUGCAAUUGAUUGCAAAUGGAUGAUUUGGUCCUCACUAAACAAAAAUCAAGAGACUGUGGCUUCCUGCUGACUUCUGCUGGACUGGUUCCUAUGUCAUUUCUGUGGCUCUUCCUAAGAUGUAUCACUGCAGAUUUCCUCUCAGUAAACACAGAACACACCUCUUUGCAACUGACCAACAGUGAGAAAGUGUCUGCUUCCCCAUGUCCUUAACAGCAUUUGUCAUUAAUUGUUUCCUUGAUCUUAGCCAUUCUGAGGGGGUGAGAUGAAAUCUCAAAGUAGUUUUUAUUUGCAUUUUUCCUAAUUGCUAAUGAUAUAGAAUGCUUUAUAAGACAUUUCUUAGUUGUUUUAAUUUCUUCUUUUGAGAAUUUUCUAUUCAGAUCUAUAACACACACACACACACACACACACACACCACACACACACACACACACACACACACACACAUACACACAAGAUUCUAAUUCUGACUCUCUGGGCUUCCUUUCCACUCAGUUCAUUAUUUCCUUUGCUGUACAGAAUGUCCCUCCUGUCAUUUGCUGGCCUUAAUUCCUGGGCAAAUAGAGUUCUACUUUGAAAGAUCCUUUCUUGUGCCUGCAUCUUGAAAAGCACUAUUUAAAUGCAGUUUCUGCAUUUCAGGUUUAACAUUGUGGGUGGUUUUUUAAAAUAAAUUUUGAGCUAAAUUUUUUACAAGGUGAUAGAUAUGGGUCUAAUUUCAUUCUACAUGUGGACGCCCAAUUUUCUCAUCAUCAUUUGUUGAAGAUGCUGUCUUUUCUCCAGUGUGUGUUUUGACGUCUUUGUUAAAUAUCAGAUGGCUACAAGUAUGUGCACUCCUGAUUGGGUCUUUUAUUUUGUUCCUUUGGUGUAUAUGUGAGUUUUAUGCCAAUACCUUCAUGGUUUUAUUGUUAUAACUCUGCAGUAUAUCUUUAAAUAUGGACCUUGUUUUGUUCAAGGCUGAUUUGGCUCUCUGGAGUCUUUUGUAGUUCCAUAUGCAUUAUAUGAUGCUCUUUGCUGUUUCUAUGAAGAAUGUUGGGGGGACUUUGUAUCUGGAUAUCUACUUUGAUGGUUUUAUGUUUUCCAGGACCCAUAACUAUGAGAGCCAAAGCCAAGCACCACUGUGAAGCAAGGCAUGGAAAAGGUUAACACUUAUUUUGAGGAGGUCCUUUAUUUAUUAGUUCAGCCUUAAGAAAAAGAAAUGGUCAGAAAAAUUUAAGCUAGUCAGAGCACCAAAUAAAUAUUUCUGUGAGGCAAAAGGUAAGUAAUCCAUUUCCCACAUGUUCAAUAGAUAGUAACAUUUCACCUAUGCAGCCUGAAGUUUGGAAGCAUCAGCAGAUGAUGGUUGUGGUGGGGACUUAAUGGUAUAUAAGUGCUGCCUACAAUAACUGUCUCUUUACAUUUUCUAUGGUCUUAGGUAUGCACAGAAAUACAUCAUGGAGGAGGAGAAGGGCUCUUAUUGAAGACUGUGACUUUGGAGAGGGAAUAAGUUUGUUCCAGAAAUAGUCUAAUCCAUGGAUUCACAAAGAAGCCUCCCCAGUGUGGGUGGAGACUGGACACUCUUGAGAAAUGCCUCUUUACUCCUCUUUAUCUAUGCCAAUGCUGUUUAGUGUCCUAUUAACAAUGCAAAAAUAUUAUCAUAUUAUCUGCUGCUCAGGAGACCAACAUGAGUCUUACAUGUCUAAAGGGAAGAUGUUGAUGGAGCUUUAUGUGUUUCUACAGUACUUGGGGCAGGAUCUUAUGCCUUGAAUUGUCUAGCUCAGAGAGAAUGUGUUUAUGUCUUGGCUAGUGGCCUCCCUCAAUUUUCAACACUUUGUCCAUAGUCACUCUUCUCUCAAACUACAGCCUGUAGGGAUGGUUAAGUUGAGUCAUUCAAAACCAUCUAUCUAUCCCAGGGACCUUGAAUCAAUCUGCAAAGGCCCCAGUUAAGGUCAACAUAUCUAUAUAUCUCAGAAAUGAAGAUGUAAAUAAUUUUGGGGAAACAGUGGUCAUUAUUCUACACACAAUAUUCACUCUUUAUCUAGUAUCCUUUAGCUUUCUCUCUUUGAAAACAUUUUCAUAUUUAUGGUGAUAUGUGAAAAAAACAGACAUUUGCUGCAGCCAAAGAUGGCAUAAUUGAUAAAAAGAAACUGAAGAUCUGCACAAGUUUCUGUGAUUUAGAAGUAGGAACUUGAGAAGCUUGAAAAAUCCUGACUGUAGAUCAGCUGUAACCCACAGACAGAUAGAAAAUGAAGGAAGGCCAAGAGCCAAGUGUUUCUUAGUAAGGGAGAGCCAUCAGGAGCCCUGGAAGGGGAAGAAUAAACUCGUCUGAGCCCUGUUCUUGGACUCUGAGUUGCUGGGGGCUAAAGCAGUCUACUUUGCUUUGUGGAUGGUGAGUUGUAAUUUCAUGGUGGUCCUCUAUACUUAGAAGCUUGACCUCCAGAGUAACACCUAGAGGGCAAUGAAAGGAGGUUUGAAUUAUGGAGAAGCCAAAUCUCUGUUUUCUUUUUUCAAGCUUAUGUCUCCAAACCACACUAAUAAAAUCAUCAUGUACACUCUGGAGUAUUCAAUACUAAGCACAUCGUCAUGCAUACACACAGAGAGAAUAGAGUUAGAUGAGUCCAUAAGAGGUCCCUACUCAUUGUCAUACUUCCUGGGCAUUUUAUGUCUUUUACUAUCCUCAUUUUGUUAUGAGUUAAAUAUCAGUAGAUUUCUAUUUUACAGAUAAAUCUCAAGAAAUACAUUUGAGAAGUAGCAGUGAAAGACUUGAAUUGCAGUCUCCAAAGCCCUAAUUUCCUCUUUGGCCACAAUGAGUAGGCAACAAAGCAUAUGUCGGUGACAUAUUUGCCAUGUUUUGAAACAAAGAGUGGCUUCCAGGAACUGAACUCAGGUCUCCAGGCUUACUCAGCAAAUACUUUUGCUUGCUGAGAAAUCUUACUGGUUCCAUGUUAAAUGUAAAGAUGGCAAGAAGAAACCAGGAGGACUGCCACAAGUUCAGCUAUCAAGAAGGAUGGAAUUCUGUCAGCUUCAGGAAUUUAGGAAUUUGGAUGGAUGCUGAGACCAUUAAAUUCAGUAAAAUUAGCCAGAAUCAGAAAGAUCACAUCUGUCACAGGGUGGCUCAUUUGUACCCCCAAUGGAUAAUUCUGCUAUGGCAUCGAUGAGAGAGCAGACGAAGGAAGUGUUGGAAAACAGACAGAAGAUGAGAGAAGCAAUGGAGAAAAAGAGGAAGAAAUUUAUUUUUUAGAGCAGAUACACAAUUUAGUCAGUUCCAACAAAUAUCACUGGAAGUACUAAAAUAAAUCAU